AUGAGGACUCUAUGCUUUUGUCCAAUGUGUGACGUGGAGCCACCGUUAUGGGGGAAGAGGCACGACGAGGCCAGAGGUGGAGAUGGGGCCGGGAGCAGGCAUGGAACAGGAGAGGGCACUAGGGAGCCGAGGAAGGAAGCCAUGAGACAUCAGUGAACCAGAAGCAUGGGAACUCAAGCAAGCCACUGUGUGAGCGUCAUGGCGUGAGCAUCCGAGGCUUCUGAGGAGUCUCUGAGACCGGCUUUACCGUGUGAACAACUGUCAUUGUUAAAGUGGAA